GCAUGUGGUUUAAUUCGAUGAUACGCGAGGAACCUUACCUGGGCUCGAACGUAAGAUGACUGUAGGUGAAAGCUUACAUCUCUUCGGAGCAUUUUACGAGGUGCUGCAUGGUUGUCGUCAGCUCGUGCCGUGAGGUGUCGGGUUAAGUCCCAUAACGAGCGCAACCCUACCUUUAGUUGCCAUCAGGUAAUGCUGGGGACUCUAAAGGAACUGCCUACGCAAGUAGUGAGGAAGGCGGGGAUGACGUCAAAUCAGCACGGCCCUUACGUCCAGGGCUACACACGUGCUACAAUGGCCGAUACAGAGGGCAGCUACCUGGUGACAGGAUGCAAAUCUCCAAAGUCGGUCUCAGUUCGGAUCGGAGUCUGCAACCCGACUCCGUGAAGUUGGAUUCGCUAGUAAUCGCGCAUCAGCCAUGGCGCGGUGAAUACGUUCCCGGGCCUU
rnacentral:rRNA from 1 species